GUAGGUGGCUGGCGAUGCCGCCGCCUGCCAUUCUCCUCUUGUCGUUGUUGCUCCGGGGCGCAUUGAGCCCCGGUUUUUUUGC
rnacentral:ncRNA from 1 species